rnacentral:rRNA from 1 species
UACGUAGGGUGCGAGCGUUGUUCGGAAUUACUGGGCGUAAAGGGCUCGUAGGCGGCCAACUAAGUCAGACGUGAAAUCCCUCGGCUUAACCGGGGAACUGCGUCUGAUACUGGAUGGCUUGAGUGUGGGAGAGGGAUGCGGAAUUCCAGGUGUAGCGGUGAAAUGCGUAGAUAUCUGGAGGAACACCGGUGGCGAAGGCGGCAUCCUGGACCAUUACUGACACUGAAAAGCGAAAGCCAGGGGAGCAAACGGG